rnacentral:lncRNA from 1 species
GGAGGCAGCGCUCUGGGGACGUCUCCACCAUGGCCUGGGCUCUGCUCCUCCUCACCUCCUCACUCAGGGCACAGGCUCUUGGGCCCAGUCUGCCCUGAUUCAGCCUCCCUCCGUGUCCGGGUCUCCUGGACAGUCAGUCACCAUCUCCUGCACUGGAACCAGCAGUGAUGUUGGGAGUUAUGACUAUGUCUCCUGGUACCAACAGCACCCAGGCACAGUCCCCAAACCCAUGAUCUACAAUGUCAAUACUCAGCCCUCAGGGGUCCCUGAUCGUUUCUCUGGCUCCAAGUCUGGCAAUACGGCCUCCAUGACCAUCUCUGGACUCCAGGCUGAGGACGAGGCUGAUUAUUAGUGCUGCUCAUAUACAAGCAGGGAGAGAGUCCUAGACAGAGGAGGUUCUAAGUGUCACCUAGAUUUCAGGUCAGCCCAAGGCCAACCCCACUGUCACUCUGUUCCCGCCCUCCUCUGAGGAGCUCCAAGCCAACAAGGCCACACUAGUGUGUCUGAUCAGUGACUUCUACCCGGGAGCUGUGACAGUGGCCUGGAAGGCAGAUGGCAGCCCCGUCAAGGCGGGAGUGGAGACCACCAAACCCUCCAAACAGAGCAACAACAAGUACGCGGCCAGCAGCUACCUGAGCCUGACGCCCGAGCAGUGGAAGUCCCACAGAAGCUACAGCUGCCAGGUCACGCAUGAAGGGAGCACCGUGGAGAAGACAGUGGCCCCUACAGAAUGUUCAUAGGUUCCCAACUCUAACCCCACCCACGGGAGCCUGGAGCUGCAGGAUCCCAGGGGAGGGGUCUCUCUCCCCAUCCCAAGUCAUCCAGCCCUUCUCCCUGCACUCAUGAAACCCCAAUAAAUAUCCUCAUUGACAACC